GACGAACGCUGGCGGCGUGCUUAACACAUGCAAGUCGAACGGUGAUGCUCCAGCUUGCUGGAGUGGAUCAGUGGCGAACGGGUGAGUAACACGUGAGCAACCUGCCCCAGACUCUGGAAUAAGCGCUGGAAACGGCGUCUAAUACUGGAUACGAAACUGGCCCGCAUGGGCAUGGUUUGGAAAGUUUUUCGGUUUGGGAUGGGCUCGCGGCCUAUCAGCUUGUUGGUGAGGUAGUGGCUCACCAAGGCGACGACGGGUAGCCGGCCUGAGAGGGCGACCGGCCACACUGGGACUGAGACACGGCCCAGACUCCUACGGGAGGCAGCAGUGGGGAAUAUUGCACAAUGGGCGAAAGCCUGAUGCAGCGACGCCGCGUGAGGGAUGACGGCCUUCGGGUUGUAAACCUCUUUCAGCAGGGAAGAAGCGAAAGUGACGGUACCUGCAGAAGAAGCACCGGCUAACUACGUG
rnacentral:rRNA from 1 species